rnacentral:lncRNA from 10 species
UCAGGUACUGAUGGUUUUGACUUCAUUAUGAUCAGCAUCUUUGGCUUCCAUCAGAGUAGACACUGAACGUUUUCAUCCAACCGGAUGAUGAGUGCAUUGGAACUACAUAAGAGAUGAAAUCCUUUCUCCCUGGGACAGCAUGAAAAAUCAUUUCAAAAGGAGAUCAGGGACUCCAGGAAGCAGAGCGUAACUCCCCACUUCUAAACUGUGGGCUUCACAUAAUGACAUCCUACCAAGAAAUCAGUAUAGCAAAGGAGGAAAAAGAGUAACUUCGCAUUGGAGAAACCUAACAAACACUGUCUCAGCCAGGUGAUCAAGGCCACUGUGAGCAGUGAUCAGUCAAGUCGAAAGUGCAUAUCAUAUGACAGGAUGAGAAUGGCAUUUUACCUCGACAUCUUCCCUCCCAAAACUAAUAAUCCUACUACAUCAGACAAACCUCAGCUGAGAAACAGUUUCCAAAAACACCUGACUAGUACCCCCUAAAACCAUCAAGGUCAUCAAGAACAAUGUAGUCCUGAGAAAUGAUCACAGCCGGGAAGAACCUAAGGACUUGGUGUCCUUUGGUAUCCUGAUAUGGAAUCCUGGAGCAGAAAAGGACAUUAAGUAAAAACCAAGGAAAUAGAAAUAAAGUAUAAACUUAAUAAUAUAUCAAUAUUAAUUCAUUAAUUGUGACAAAUGUAACAUAGUAAUGUAAGACAUUAAAAUGGGGAAAAUUGGGUAUGAUGUGGAGGA